GUCUUUAUAUUGGCUACCAUCAUAUAACUCAGUCAAACCCAACAAGCGUGAAUGUCUCAAGACUUGACCACCCCUGCUGAGGUUGCCAAGCCCGAGUCAAUGUGGUGAAGCACACAAAGUGUGGCCUCAACCAGCAGAUUUGUUAAUGAUCCUUCCGCAGGUUCACCUACGGAAA
rnacentral:misc_RNA from 1 species